AUCGAACGCUGGCGGCAGGCCUAAUACAUGCAAGUCGGGCGAGAGGCGGACGGGUGAGUAAUGUAUUGGGAUCUGCCUGACCGAGGGGGAUAAGUACUGGAAACCGUAGCUAAUACCGCAUACCACCAGAUCAACCCACUGGGGAUUAGCUAGUAGGUGAGGUAACGGCUCACCUAGGCGACGAGCCCUAGCUGGUCUGAGAGGCUGAUCAGCCACACUGGGACUGAGACACGGCCCAGACUCCUACGGGAGGCAGAAGUGGGGAAUAUUGCACAAUGGGCGAAAGCCUGAUGCAGCCAUGCCGCGUGUAUGAAGAAGGCCUUCGGAUUGUAAAGUACUGUCAGUAGAGAAGCGUUACCGAAAGAGAAAGCACCGGCUAACUCCGUGCCAGCCGCCGCGGUAAUAC
rnacentral:rRNA from 1 species